rnacentral:rRNA from 1 species
GACGAACGCUGGCGGCGUGCUUAACACAUGCAAGUCGAACGGAAAGGCCUGCUUUCCCUUGUGGAUUGCGGGUACUCGAGUGGCGAACGGGUGAGUAACACGUGAGUGAUCUGCCCCCAACUUGGGUAUAAGCCUGGGAAACUGGGUCUAAUUCCCGAUAGGACUGCAGGGUGGUGCCUGUGGUGGAAAACGAUUUUCUAGUGGUUGGGGAUGAGCUCGCGGCCUAUCAGCUUGUUGGUGGGGUAAUGGCCUACCAAGGCGGCGACGGGUAGCCGGCCUGAGAGGGUGGACGGCCACAUUGGGACUAAGAUACGGCCCAGACUCCUACGGGAGGCAGCAGUGGGGAAUAUUGCACAAUGGGCGGAAGCCUGAUGCAGCGACGCCGCGUGGGGGAUGACGGCCUUCGGGUGGUAAACUCCUUUCGACCGCGAGGAAGCCACCUGGUUGGAAGGGUGGUGACGGUAGUGGUAGAAGAAGCACCGGCUAACUACGUG